GACGUAGGGCGCGAGCGUUGUCCGGAUUUAUUGGGCGUAAAGAGCUCGUAGGCGGCUUGUCGCGUCGACUGUGAAAUCCCGCGGCUCAACUGCGGGUCUGCAGUCGAUACGGGCAGACUAGAGUGCGGUAGGGGAGACUGGAAUUCCUGGUGUAGCGGUGGAAUGCGCAGAUAUCAGGAGGAACACCGAUGGCGAAGGCAGGUCUCUGGGCCGCAACUGACGCUGAGGAGCGAAAGCAUGGGGAGCGAACAGG
rnacentral:rRNA from 1 species